UGAAUGAAGAGUUUGAUCCUGGCUCAGGAUGAACGCUGACAGAAUGCUUAACACAUGCAAGUCGAUGGGGAAGAAUUAACUUGUUAAUUUGGUAACCAUGGCGGACGGGUGAGUAACGCGUAAAGAACUUACCUUUCAGACUGGGAUAACAGAGGGAAACUUCUGAUAAGACCGGAUAUAAUUAAUUGAUUGCAUGAGAGAUUAAUGAAAAGAGAUGCUGAAAGAGAGCUUUGCGUCCUAUUAGCUAGUUGGUAAGGUAACGGCUUACCAAGGCGAUGAUAGGUAGCCGGCCUGAGAGGGUGGACGGCCACAAGGGGACUGAGAUACGGCCCUUACUCUUACGGGAGGCAGCAGUGGGGAAUAUUGGACAAUGGAGGAGACUCUGAUCCAGCAAUUCUGUGUGCACGAAGAAGGUUUUCGGAUUGUAAAGUGCUUUCAGUGGGGAAGAAGGAAGUGACGGUACCCACAGAAGAAGCGACGGCUAAAUACGUGCCAGCAGCCGCGGUAAUACGUAUGUCGCGAGCGUUAUCCGGAAUUAUUGGGCAUAAAGGGCAUCUAGGCGGACGAUCAAGUCAGGGGUGAAAACUUGCGGCUCAACUGUAAGCUUGCCUUUGAAACUGAUUGUCUAGAGUAUUGGAAAGGUGGGCGGAACUACACGAGUAGAGGUGAAAUUCGUAGAUAUGUGUAGGAAUGCCGAUGAUGAAGAUAGCUCACUGGACGAUAACUGACGCUGAAGUGCGAAAGCUAGGGGAGCGAACAGGAUUAGAUACCCUGGUAGUCCUAGCUGUAAACGAUGAUCACUGGGUGUGGGCAGGAAGACUGUCUGUGCCGAAGCAAAUGCGAUAAGUGAUCCGCCUGGGGAGUACGACCGCAAGGUUGAAACUCAAAGGAAUUGACGGGGACCCGCACAAGCGGUGGAGCAUGUGGUUUAAUUCGACGCAACGCGAGGAACCUUACCAGAUCUUGACAUCCUACGAACAUGUAUGAGGAUACAUGGUGCCUUCGGGAACGUAGAGACAGGUGGUGCAUGGCUGUCGACAGCUCGUGUCGUGAGAUGUUGGGUUAAGUCCCGCAACGAGCGCAACCCUUAUCGUUAGUUACCAUCAUUAAGUUGGGGACUCUAGCGAGACUGCCUGCGAAGAGCAGGAGGAAGGUGGGGAUGACGUCAAGUCAUCAUGCCCCUUAUGAUCUGGGCUACACACGUGCUACAAUGGGCAGUACAGAGAGGAGCGAGAUAGUGAUAUGGAGCGAAUCUUGAAAGCUGUUCUAAGUUCGGAUUGAAGUCUGCAACUCGACUUCAUGAAGUUGGAAUCGCUAGUAAUCGCAAAUCAGCAAUGUUGCGGUGAAUACGUUCUCGGGUCUUGUACACACCGCCCGUCACACCACGAGAGUUGUUUGCACCUGAAGUUACUGGUCUAACUUAGGAGGAAGGUACCUAAGGUGUGAAUAGUGAUUGGGGUGAAGUCGUAACAAGGUAUCCGUACCGGAAGGUGCGGAUGGAUCACCUCCUUU
rfam:Leptotrichia goodfellowii F0264 contig00180, whole genome shotgun sequence.